rfam:Stegodyphus mimosarum contig45312, whole genome shotgun sequence.
AUGCAUGGCUUAAUGUCUGAGACAAGUAUAUGACUAUUGGCAGCAUCAAUCAGGCAGCUUUUCUAUGUUCAUAGAACAUUCGAAAUGCACGCUAAUCGAAUCCGCCAGUGACAGCGCACACCUUGGAAAUGCUGUCCUACGAUGAUCGUAACAGGUGGCAGGGAAUCAGGGUUCGAUUCCUGAGAGGGAGCCUGAGAAAGGGCUACCACAUCCAAGGAAGUCAACAAGCGCGCAAAUUACCCACUACCACAACGGGAAGAGAGUGACCAACAAUAACAAAACGGGACUCUUUUGAGACCCCACAAAUGGGACGAGUAACUAAAUCUUUUAACGAGAUCAAUUGGAGGGCAAGUCCAGUACCAGCAGCCGUGGUAAUUCCAGCUCCAAUAGCGU